AGCCAGCACUCAUAUCAUAGAGGCCCUGUUUACCCAGCGCAUUCUUCCACCCACCUCAGCUGUCAGCAGACCAGCCGCACUGUUACACUGUUGAGGUGGAUCAUUUUCCUCAGCACACCCCCUCGCUUGUCCUACUUGCCCUGUCAACUUCUGUUAAGGAUAGCAGACAGCAGCUGCAACAGCUACUGCAUAUCCUGACCCAUAAGAUUAAACCCAGCCGAGAUGAAAAGAUGUAAAGACACACUACAGCACUUUUUUGCCAUCUGUUUUACUAAUACAUUAUACUUGUAUUUAAUUUAUGGAUUCCUGGUGUUAAGGCCAGUGCACAUGUUGAUAAAGGUGUGCAGGUGUGAUCAGUGGAUUUUUGACA